rnacentral:rRNA from 1 species
CCUACGGGUGGCUGCAGUGGGGAAUAUUGCGCAAUGGAGGAAACUCUGACCCAGCGACGCCGCGUGAAUGAUGAAGGUCUUCGGAUUGUAAAGUUCUUUUCUAAGGGAAGAACAUACUCACUGUACCUUAGUAAUAAGCCUCCGCUACCUUCGUGCCAGCCGCCGGCGGAAUACGUAGGAGGCGAGCGGUAUCCGGAAUGACUGGGCGUAAAGGUCGCGUAUGUGGUUUGGCAAGUUAUUAGCGUAACUCCAAGGCUCAACCUUGGAACUACUACUAAAACUGGUGAACUUGAGUGCAGGAGGGGAAAGCGGAAUUCCUAGUGUAGCGGUGGAAUGCGUAGAUAUUAGGAGGAACACCAGUGGCGAAGGCGGGUUGCUAGACUGUAACUGACACUGAGGCACGAAAGCGUGGGGAGCAAACAGGAUUAGAUACCCGUGUAGUC